GGGCUGGGGCUCAGUGGUAGAGCACUUGCCUGGCAUGUGUGAGGCACUGGGUUCAAUUCUCAGCAACACA
rnacentral:tRNA from 1 species